AUCUAUGGCCACACCACCCUGAACGCGCCCGAUCUCAUCUGAUCUCAGAAGCUAAGCAGGGUUGGACCUGGUUAGUAGUACUUGGAUGGGGGUGAAACACCACUUAGACCAGGUUUGAUG
rnacentral:rRNA from 1 species